CAGCAUGAUAUCGUGUAGAACUGGGAAAGGAAACCUUCUGAGACUGUGCUUUUUAUGGGAUUAUCUGUUUAUUAUUCUAUCCAGAGUUUUAUGUCUGCCAUAGAAGAAAUGUGAAAUUGCCAAGAAGCUCAGGGAAGCUCUGGAGUGGGGUUCACCCCUGUGGUUGUUAAGAUAAAGGUUUUGUAUUGUAUCUUUCAACACAAGCUUCCUCUGCCUCAAAUGCUUGUCCUUACAGGUAAAUCUGCAUUAGAAAAGCACCCACCUUUCAGUAUUCUGGGAUGAAAACCCUUCCUCUUGAUUCCAAUUCAAAUCCCUCACUACUUUUUUAACAUAGCCUAAGCUGGUGAAAUGGUGAGAUAGUAAAAUCCAAGCUUCCAAUGUACAAAAGGCUCCUGGAACAGCCAAGAAUAAAACGACCAGUUCCUUUUUCUGUCAUCUUCAUUUUUUUCCUCCACGGUAAGUUUGUGAAGUUUGGUUUUAAGAGACCCUGAUGAUGGAUGCAGACCUGAGACCACGGUGACGCUCUUGAUCUUUUAUCCAUCCUAUCCAGCCUUCAGAUCUUUAAAUCCUGCAGGGAUUUCUCAGCUGGCUGUGAAACAUCUUCUGAGCCCUUGCAUUUUGCAGCUCGAAGACAAAGUAAAUGCAAGGUUAAACCAAUGCAAAGUUUUGGCUUCUGUUAAUAUGUCAGACUGCAAUUUUUGGGGGCAGUUCCUGCAGGAGUAACAGAGUCACCCUGGCUGCAGGUAUAGCCUAGACAGCUGGAAAUCUCUGCAGCCACCCCAAAUUAAAAUGAAAAUCAGAAGCUUUGAAGGCAGUGUUGCCCUAAAAUGGGGAUCCAAGCUAGAUGGGAGGGGUAACAUUUAUUUUGCAGUCUGUUCUGACCUACAAAUUACCAUCCUCAGUGCUCUGCUUUUGCUGAUCCAUCCCCAGAGCAUUGCUGCACAGCUCUGCUUCAUGUGAGACACGUGUGGACGACUUGGAAUCACCCACAAGACUUCAUGGAGAGCACAGAUGUUGCACACUGUGUCCCUUCAAGUUGUCCUGCUGUUUCAUGCACCAUCACAUUGCAGGUAAUGAAUUGCCAGCUGCUCUUGGAGCUGUGAUGAUGCUUUUAACCCUCUUUGGCAGCAGCACUAUAAGGGGUUUGGAUAUGCAGUUACAGCUGCCCCCCAAGAAAUUCGUCUGCUGGUUAUUUUUGCACUGUUUCUCUUACAUGUAUAAGAAAGAAGGGCCCAGAUGGCCUUACCUGCUGCAAGCUGUAUGCAUCUCAUCUGUGUGACUUAGAAUCAUUAAGGUUGGAGAAGACAGCUAAGAUAAUCAAGUCCAACCAUCAGCCCAUCCCCUCCAUGCCCACUAACCAUGUUCCUCCGUGCCACAUCUGUUCUUUUCUUGCUCUUCCCCUCUUGCAGGACAAACAGGGGCUGGAAAACUUGGACUAUCCCCAAACCUCAAUUCACACUGAGUUUAUAGGGACUGGCCAGUGCUGCUUCAGUACCUAUGGGUUGGCGAAGAGUUUGGGGAGUGCUGAAAAGGAAGGAGGUGGUCUGAAUCUCAGUUCUGUGCAAUUCCUGAGCUGGCUCUGCUGGGGCUACACCCUUUGCUUUUAUUUUUAUGUCAGUUCUGGCUGCAAUUUGAGUUCUUUCACUCUUUAAUCUGAAUGUCAAAUCAAGGCUUGAACCCAACGCAAACAAACCCAAACACUCCAGGUCUGUGCUGCUUUCAGCCAUGCCCUUCCUGGGCUCCCAGAGCCAAGGAAGAACCCAAGCCCCAGACUGCACCGCCAGUUUACCAUUUCAGUCCUCUUCCUCUCUCCUGCGGGUUUCUCCUUCCUGCCUUCUACCUUUGUUAUGCUUCCAGUACUCCAAAAUAACCCUGCUUCCACCCAAUAUUUGGAGGUGCAAACAGCACAUUGCUGUUCCUGAUGCUUGCUGCUUGCUCUCCAGCGGGGAACUCGAUCGUAGCAGCUUCCCACCAACUUUAUGAAGUUGAUCCAGAAAAAACAAGGUGUGACUCAAGCUGGUGCCUUGAAAGAAAACCUGAUGGCUCCAAAGAAUUAACUCCUUGUACUGCACACAACCAUUGCUUUGCCUGGAAGAGGUGGAGGGGAUUCUUCUUCCUCCCACUGCGUAAAUGAAGGAAUUAUGCUCAGAGUUGCAGGGAAAAUGUUGUAGAUACUCAGCUUAAAGAGUCAUAGAGUCAUAGAAUCGCAGAAUAUCCCAAGUUGAAUGUGACUCUUGUAGAUCAUAGAGUCCAUGGGUGGGGAAUGGAAGAGCACAAACACAGUUUCUUCAUUUUUUAUUUAAUGUCUUCAGGGCACUUCACACAUGCCCAAAUCUCAGCAGCAGCAAACAAAGCCCUCAGUGUCCUUUGGAUGUGCAUUGCAUCAUGCUCUAAGCAAGCACGGGCAUGAAAUAUGCUUCUACCUCUUCAUUAAAUAAAAAAAACACGACAGAAUACUGAAGAUCUCGAGUGUUUACCUGAGCUUUCCCACACCCAAUUCAUCACCUACCUCUGCCGUGUAAAGGGAAAAAGUGAUUUUGCAGCUGCCUGCAAGAAGAUGGCGCCUGUCCAUAGGCAUAAGCUGAGGUUUCCUGCACAGCCAUUAAAAUGCCUUUUAACAAUGUAGUGAUGGUAAUGUUGAGUCAUAGAAUAGCUGGGGUUGGAAGGAAGGUACACACGAUCCCACCAUCUGUGUCACUGACAAAGAUGUCGAAGAGUACAGCUCCCAAGAUGGACCCCUGGGGGACACCACUUAUCACCAGCUCCACCUGGACAUGGAGACAUUGACCACAGCCCUUUGGCUACGACCAUCCAACCAGCUCUUUAUCCACCCUUCAAAACCAAAUCUCUCCCGUUUGGAAAUAAGGAUGUGGUACAGGACCAUGUCAGAGGCCUUACACAAGCGUUUUGGAGGAGAAAAAUGGGAAGUGAGUGAAAGCUGUGCAAGCCUGGAUGGCCCUCAUGUAAUGGGCAAGGACAGGAUGGAUGGGCCCUCUGGAUCCCAGAAAAGAUGGAAAAAGCCCCAAAUCUCCCCCUGUUCUGGAGGGCUCCCAGCAUGAAGUGGUGGUGGUUGAGCUCACAGCAUGAUUUAAUUCCCAUUAAAUGCCCCAAUCGUGCAGGAAUGGAGCAGCUCUGGUAGUGGUCACUUCCCCAACUCCGUUAACUCUUGUAGGAUUUCUUGCACAGAGCUACUUUUUUUGGCUAAUAAAGCCAGAUCCCAGCGCAUUUCCUUGGUGCCAGACACGGAUGACAUCCCUUGAAGUGGUGAAACUUCUUGUCCCCUCUUUAGGUCCCACAUUUUCUUUCCUGAUCCAACUUGUCCCAUCUUCUGGUCCCAUAAGGAUAACACUUGGCUUAGGUUGGAAGGGACCUUAAAGAUCAUCAGGGAUGUGGAUUAGUGGGGAAAUAUUGGUGGUAGAUGGAUGGUUGGACUGGAUAAUCUAGGAGAUCUUUUCCAGCCUUGGUGAUUCUGUGAUUCUAUUCUAUGAAUUCAACCCAAUUCUUGUGGUCAUCCCUCUCCCUGCCAGCUUGGAGCUGCACUCCCAUUUUCUACAACCUUCCUUUUCUGCAGCCUCAUUCUUUCACAUCCUCCUUUUUUCACAUCCUUUGGAAGUGCUCAGCACAGUUCCCCAUUCCUUCUGCGCUGGAGAUGGAGCUGCAGUGUUGUUCCUCACCAUUUACUUGAUGUGUUUUUAGAGCCCCGUGGUUGAAAUGUUAUCUAAAUGCCUCUUUUAAUAGAAUAAAUAUCUGGGGAGAAUUUGGGUCUGAUACGGCAACAUCAGAGCUGAAGCACCUCCCGACUCCCACCCCCUUGAUUGAAGAUGCUGGGAGGCUUUGGGGUUGCUUAUCUCCUAAAAACACCAUUUUAGAGAAAAAAAAUAAUCUAAACCCUGUAAUGUUAGAAAAAAAUAAUGUCCUAAAUCCCAUCAUUUUAGAAGAAAAAAAAAAAAGUCCCCCAAAGCAAUAUUUUAGAGAUAAACUGUCCAGUGCCACACAGGAUACAGGAAAAUGGGGACACAGUGAAGAGGGGUGCUGGGCUUUCAGCCCCUCACCAUUGCAGGGAGUCCCUAUGGGAUUUUUGGGGAAGAGGUGACCCUCAGCUCAUGUCAGGGCAGGAAUGAGGUCCCUCAAUUCCCCAGGUCCUAUUCCAAGGGAUCCUCUGGGUCCUAUUCCAUGGGGUCCUCCAUUGUAGCUGGCCCAUCCUAGAUGAACCCCUGGGUCUUACCCCUGCUGAUCCCCCAAGCUCCAUCGCAAGUGAUUCCCCAUUUGCCACCCCAUAUGAACCCCCCACAUCCUAUCUUAAGCAAUCCCAUAAGCCCCGUCCUGGAGGAUACCCCAGGUCCCAUCCCAGCUGUACCACUCCAAGUAAUCAGCCAGGCUUCCUCCUGUCACAUCCCAGAGGAUCUCAUCAAAUCCCCUCUUAGAUCAUCCCCCAGGUCUUAUCCCAAGGGAUCCCCCAGCUCCCAUCCUAGAUGACCCCCCACCAAGGAACCACACCACGUGAUUUCAGUGUCCUACCCUAAGUGAUCCCCAUCCAGGUUUUACGUUAAAGGGUUUACCAGAUCCUAUUCCAAAGGAUCCUCCAGGUCCCAUCUAGAUCUCCCAACAGCCAUUCCUGGUGACCCCCCAAGUCCCACUCCACUGUUCUUGAAUGAUCCUUAGUGAUGGUAAUGGAAACCUCACCAUGCUCCCACGAGCCAAAUUAGGGGAGAAAUGGGGAAAACAGUCAUUUUCCACAGAUGAAAAUUGAUGAUGAGAAUGCGGGGCCAACGUUCCUGGCUGUGGUCCAUCUGCCCGUUAAAGGCUAUCAUUAAGAAAAACAACUCAGGAUGAUCAGUGUGAAAACGUGCCAGUAAUUAAACAACCCCAGAAUAGAAGGAGAAAAGGUCAGCCCUAAAAAUACAGCGCACGGUUUUGUCUCUGAAGCAUUCAUAAAUAACCACAUUUUCAGGAAGGUCUAAUUUUAGGCACUUGGAUACCACAGCCUGGUGUGACCCCUUGGCUUAUCUGGAUGAUGUUGGAUUGGUUUCUUUUUUUGGGGGUUGAUUUUGCCUCUUUCAAUGUUUUCUGUUUCUUGUGUGUGUGAGCAAGAGGGGAGCACGUGGUGAAAGCAUCAAUGUUGGUGCUGUUGGGUUGGGGUGGAGUGAGCGUGGGUGUGCUCAGCGCUGACAUAGCCCUCCCAGCAUGCAGGUUCCUGUCUGCUUUUCCCAACGCUGGGAAAACAUUUGGGGUUGCCAAAACAGUUGAGAUCCUUCUGUUGGUUGUACAUCCCCAAAACCACUCGGAAUGGUUUCGUUGUGCUCACACCAUUCUCUGCUUGAUUGGUAGUGGCGGAGCAUUGAUAAGACCCAUUGCAAUUAAUUCUCUUUUCAAAUCCUCCAUACAGAGAAAGGAAAUCCUCCCAGCCCCAGGGCAGGAGAGUUGCUGCAGUGGGGUUUCACCUGCUUUGUUGGGAAACUCAGUCAAGGCAGCAUCGUGGGGUGGAUUAAGACAAUUCUGUCCUGCCUUAUUUGAAACAGGGGCCUACCAACCCUCCUCUUGGGAUGGGGAGAGAAAUAAAAGAGCCCUCAAUGCCUUUCCUUUGGGAGAAACCAGAACAUGGGUUCAGCCAACGGAAUUCCAAAAAGGAUGGGAUUUUGGGAUGGGGAUGGCCACAACCCAGGAACUGAGUGCUGAGCAGCCCUGGGGAGCAUUUUUCCAUCUUUUGGGGUGAAAAAAAUGGAGAGAAGAGGGAUGGGGGCGAUUCUGUUCCCAUCCCCAUCCCUGUCACCUCAUCUGGGCAGUGUCUUUUUUGAGGGAGUUUCUUAGUAGUGUGAUUCAAAGUGGUCUCAGAGUGAAGCAGAAGGAAGCACUGUUAGACAUGGGGAGACAUUUUAUUGGACUCAGCACGUUUCUCGUGGAUGCACAGUGACCACUAUCACCCCUGUGAACACAAGAGGUACAUCUUGAGGGUGGAAGCAGGAGGGUCCCCCCCCAAUGUCUAUCAUCAUCCCAAGCUGUCAUGACCCAAGCCCUCUCCUGCAUCCAACAUAGACGUAGGUUGGCGAUGCUCCAGUUGGGAUAAAAGAUCAUUUUUCAGCCCAGGAUGGCAGAGAGAAGGCAGUAGGGGAUGGAGGGGCCGGGGACAGCCAUGGUCUCUGUUUUCCCUAUGAAAAAAAAAAAGAAAAAGAAGGAAAAAAUUUAAAAAGCACCUUAAACAUUGAUUUUCCAACUACUACCAUCAGCAGCAAUGCAGGAUGUGGUCAGGGAUGGGGAAUGAGACAUUUGUGGUGCCAUUGCAUUUGGUCCAUGGCUUUCAAAGCACGUGGGGUCAGGCACGAGUUACCUGUGGGCUGGGAAUGAAGCUCACUUCUCCGUCAUCAUCCUCACAAACUCCUCGUAGUUGACCUGCCCGUCGUUGUUGCAGUCUGCCUCCUUGAUCAUCUCGUCCACCUCCUCGUCCGUCAGCUUCUCUCCCAGGUUGGUCAUGACGUGCCGCAGCUCCGCCGCGCUGAUGUAACCGUUGCCAUCCUUGUCGAAGACACGGAAAGCUUCACGGAUCUCCUCCUCGCUGUCCGAGUCCCUCAUCUUCCUCGCCAUCAGUGAGAGGAACUCGGGGAAAUCAAUGGUGCCGCUGCCGUCCGCGUCCACCUCUCCCACCAUGUCCUGCAGCUCCGCCUCGGUGGGGUUCUGCCCCAGUGAGCGCAUGACGGUGCCCAGCUCCUUUGUGGUGAUGCAGCCAUCGCCGUCGCGAUCGAAAAGGGAAAAAGCCUCCUUGAAUUCGGCGAUCUGCUCCUCCGACAGCCGCUCGGCCAUGGCGUCCCGCGCUCUCCGCUCGCACGCGGCUUUGCCCCUGCACGCAGCGCUGGCGGGGAGGUGUGGAUGGGGCCUCCUCCUUCCUGUUCUCCCACUCCUGGGGCCUCCUCCCUUCUGUCUUCUCUUUCCCGGAGGAGGAGCAGGAGGAGCUGGGGCAUGCAGGAGGUUUCCUGCUUCUUGCUCGUGCAGGUCCAGGCAGAACCCAGCUGUGAUGUACUCCUUGUGCUCCUUGCUGAUGGGAACCUGAGUCAGCCGUGACACCUUGUCUGGGCUCCCCGAGCACAGCCGCAUGGCCCCAAGGAGCUGACGCGGUCAUACAUCAAGAUGAAUCAAAACUGUUGUGAAAGAGCCCCUGGGAGGAUGGGAAGAGGAGGGAGCUUGGUGAAGGUGGCUGGGAGAAGCAAACACCAUCAGCCUCCCCAUCAGUAUCGUCCAUUACCUUCCCACUGACCACAGCCACUGGGAGAAGGUCAGCCCUUGAUGUUGACCACGCUUAACUGCACCCUCAUUAGUUCAGCGGGGUAAUUAACCUCGUCAAACUACCUUCUGGCCCAUAAAACCCUGUGGUUUAUGGCCGGGUCGUAUUUAUUGCAUCUGGGAGGACAGGAAAGCAGCUCUGGUUUCCCUGGGUUGCUUCCAACCGGGGCUCGAGGAGUCAAUGCUUUGAUGGAGGAGGGAGACGAGGUCGGUGGGUGCGAGUGGCUCAAGUUCAAGCCUCAUGAAGCAUUUUCCAGGCGUUCCCUUGUCCCGAUGUCUGGCUGAUCCAUGAAACAACCAAAAAAAAAAAA